UCAAACUUGGUCAUUUAGAGGAAGUAAAAGUCGUAACAAGGUCAUCGUAGGUGAACCUGCGGUGGGAUCAUCAUUGAACCAAAAGAUACAUUGAGAGAACAUGAAGAAAACCAGGGUGGGGAGAGUCGAAAGACUUGGACCCGCCCGCACAUUAAACCAAAUAAACAAUAUAUAUUACGCUGUGCUGUAAAACAAAAAAUACAACUAUCAGCGGUGGAUCACUUGGCUCUUGCAUCGAUGAAGAACGCAGC
rnacentral:misc_RNA from 1 species